UACGUAGGGUGCAAGCGUUAAUCGGAAUUACUGGGCGUAAAGCGCGUGUAGGCGGUUUGGUAAGUCGCAUGUGAAAGCCCUCGGCUUAACCGAGGAAGUGCAUGUGAUACUGUCAGACUUGAGUGUCGGAGGGGGUGGCGGAAUUCCCGGUGUAGAGGUGAAAUUCGUAGAUAUCGGGAGGAACACCUGUGGCGAAGGCGGCCACCUGGACGACAACUGACGCUGAGACGCGAAAGCGUGGGUAGCAAACAGG
rnacentral:rRNA from 1 species